rnacentral:rRNA from 1 species
CUACGGAACUCCUACGGGAGGCAGCAGUGGGGAAUUUUGGACAAUGGGCGAAAGCCUGAUCCAGCAAUGCCGCGUGAGUGAAGAAGGCCUUCGGGUUGUAAAGCUCUUUUGUCAGGGAAGAAACGGGAGUGGCUAAUAUCCAUUCCUAAUGACGGUACCUGAAGAAUAAGCACCGGCUAACUACGUGCCAGCAGCCGCGGUAAUACGUAGGGUGCAAGCGUUAAUCGGAAUUACUGGGCGUAAAGCGUGCGCAGGCGGUUUUGUAAGUCUGUCGUGAAAUCCCCGGGCUCAACCUGGGAAUUGCGAUGGAGACUGCAAGGCUAGAAUCUGGCAGAGGGGGGUAGAAUUCCACGUGUAGCAGUGAAAUGCGUAGAGAUGUGGAGGAACACCGAUGGCGAAGGCAGCCCCCUGGGUCAAGAUUGACGCUCAUGCACGAAAGCGUGGGGAGCAAACAGGAUUAGAUACCCCUGUAGUCCUCUUCGA